rnacentral:rRNA from 1 species
AUUGAACGCUGGCGGCAUGCCUAACACAUGCGAGUCGAACGGCAGCACAGUAUGUAGCAAUACAUAUGGGUGGCGAGUGGCGGACGGGUGCGUAAUAUGUAGGGAUCUGCCCUGAAGCGGGGGACAACCCGGGGAAACCCGGGCUAAUACCGCAUAAUACUCUACGGAGGAAAUCUGGCACGCAAGUGCUGGGGCUUUAGGAUGAACCUACAUCCGAUUAGCUAGUUGGUGAGGUAAUAGCUCACCAAGGCAAUGAUCGGUAGCUGGUCUGAGAGGAUGACCAGCCACACUGGGACUGAGACACGGCCCAGACUCCUACGGGAGGCAGCAGUGGGGAAUAUUGGACAAUGGGGGAAACCCUGAUCCAGCAAUGCCGCGUGGGUGAAGAAGGCCUUCGGAUUGUAAAGCCCUUUAGGCGGGGAAGAAGGUUAUAGGGUGAUAAGCCUUAUAGCUUGACGGUACCCGCAGAAUAAGCACCGGCUAACUCUGUGCCAGCCGCCGCGGUAA